rnacentral:rRNA from 1 species
UACGGAGGGUGCAAGCGUUGUCCGGAUUUAUUGGUUUAAAGGGUGCGUAGGCGGCUUUUUAAGUCAGUGGUGAAAAUACAGCAGCUCAACUGUUUGAGGUGCCAUUGAUACUGAAGAGCUUGAGUACAGAUGAGGUAGGCGGAAUUUAUGGUGUAGCGGUGAAAAUGCAUAGAUACCAAUAAAAGAAACACCGAUUUGCGAAAGGGCAGCUUUACUAAGCUGU